GCGGCAGGUAGGGCCGGGGAGCUAGCCCUUCCCUGUAACCCGAAAUGGGCUACAUGCGGGGGCCAGUAACCCGAGGAGGCGCUUGUGGAGAGGGGGCACAGCGACGGAUGAAGAGGGAUGAAAAUGCGCCCACAUGGGGCUCCGUAGGAAGCCGACCCACCUGUAGGGGUGGGCAACGGCUUCCCCACACGCCGAACCGUGUUAGGCCCGGGAGGGAGCGGCACUAAGGCGUGGCGGAGCCGCUGUGUGGAUCCGUGUUGGAUCCUCUUCUCCGUUGCCACGGCCUCCUUCUCCCUUGCCACUCCUCGGGGGCUGCCGC
rnacentral:SRP_RNA from 1 species